UUAUGUUAUUGUCGAAGGCACGAAAAGAAUCGGUUUGAAUCAAUGACUGUUUUAAUGCGUUGACUUGUACGAGGGGGGACGAGUUAGAACAUGGAGACAGACACCAAGAGAACAAAAACUGGGCCUGAUUCAGAUUUAAUGGGGCAACCAGAAGCUGUCUUGGAGGAUAGGUAUACAGACCCCAUAAGUCUAGUUGAUGCUUAUGCCUGUAUCAUUCAAGAGAAGAAACAGACAGCCAAAAUUGUAAAGGAACUGACCUGUGAUCUACCCUUGACGGAUCUGUUGCAUCUCAAGAGAGUCCGCAAUCACAAGACAAAAGAUAAUGCCGACCAGCUGCAGGUGAUAGUCUGUCCCAAGUCUGCCACUGACUCCAAAUCUGAUGUGGACAUCCUGGACUCCAUUGCCUCGAGGUUCCCAGCUCUGGGCAAGCCAGUCCUUGUGAAGGUGCCACAGAACCCACCACUGACCCGAACUCAGUACCAAGAUGCCAUCAAAUACUGGCCCGUCUCUUUCCAUGAAAAUAAGAGGGUGAUGUCACUGCUGUCAGGCCAUUUCUUCUCCAGCAGUGAAGUGAGGACCAUCCACGCUCACAUGAACACAGUCCUGCAUCAGGCUAAGGUGGCCGGGGACAAGGGCCAGGUUGCUAUAGGAGCUGUAGUGGUGGAUCCAUCCACCGACACUGUCCUUGCUUUGGCACAUGACCUGAGACAAGGACACAAUCCACUCCAACAUGCUGUCAUGGUUGCUGUGGACCUGGUUGCCUACGGACAGGGAGGUGGAAUGUGGGAUAUACAGGACAGUGAUAUGAAAUACCACUCUACAGCAGAUACUGUCACACAACCUUCAAGAGAUGGCUGCACCAAAGUUGGACCGUACCUGUGUACAGGAUAUGACCUAUAUGUGAACAGUGAACCCUGUAUAAUGUGUGCUAUGUCUCUGGUCCAUUCCCGCAUUGGUCGUGUCUUCUACAGCAGUCCACAUCCAGAAGGAGCUCUUGGUACCCGCUACAAGCUGCAUGUUCAACCUGGACUCAACCAUCAUUAUCAGGUGUUCAGAGGGGCACUGCCAACUCAGUGUCUCAACCUAGACCAACAUGGGUGACAUGUUACAUCCUACAGCAUAUGUCUCAGGUUAGGCCAACAUGGGUGACAUGUUACAUCCUAGAGCAUGUGUUACAGGUUAGGCCAACAUGGGUGACAUGUUACAUCCUACAGCAUGUGUCAUAGGUUAGGCCAACAUGGGUGACAUGUUACAUCCUACAGCAUGAGUCACAAGUUAAACCAACAUGGGUGACAUGUUACAUCUUACAGCAUGAGUCACAAGUAACACCAACAUGGGUGACAUGUUACAUCCUACAGCAUGAGUCACAAGUUAGACCAACAUGGGUGACAUGUUACAUCCUAGAGCAAGAGUCACAGGUUAGGCCAACAUGGGUGACAUGUUACAUCCUAGAGCAUGAGUCACAGGUUAGUCCAACAUGGGUGACAUGUUACAUCCUAUAGCAUGUGUCACAGGUUAGGCCAACAUGGGUGACAUGUUACAUCCUACAGCAUGUGUCACAGGUUAGGCCAACACGGGUGACAAGUUAGGCCAACA
rnacentral:misc_RNA from 1 species